AGCCACAGCCAUAUCACCCUGCAGCCCAAGACCGGUUACUCACUGAAGCUAAGCAGGGUUGAGCCUGGUUAGUACCUGGAUGGGAGACCACUAGGGAACACUAGGUUGCUGCUGGAA
rnacentral:rRNA from 1 species